GAUGGACGCUGACAGAAUGCUUAACACAUGCAAGUCAACUUGAACUUCGGUUUGGGUGGCGGACGGGUGAGUAACGCGUAAAGAACUUGCCUCACAGAUAGGGACAACAUUUGGAAACGAAUGCUAAUACCUGAUAUUAUGAUUUUAGGGCAUCCUAGGAUUAUGAAAGCUAUAUGCGCUGUGAGAGAGCUUUGCGUCCCAUUAGCUAGUUGGAGAGGUAACGGCUCACCAAGGCGAUGAUGGGUAGCCGGCCUGAGAGGGUGAUCGGCCACAAGGGGACUGAGACACGGCCCUUACUCCUACGGGAGGCAGCAGUGGGGAAUAUUGGACAAUGGACCAAGAGUCUGAUCCAGCAAUUCUGUGUGCACGAUGAAGUUUUUCGGAAUGUAAAGUGCUUUCAGUUGGGAAGAAAAAAAUGACGGUACCAACAGAAGAAGUGACGGCUAAAUACGUG
rnacentral:rRNA from 1 species